GACCUGAUUAUGUGUGCAAGCUC
rnacentral:siRNA from 1 species